CAAGUUAUAGAUGUUGAAUGAUUAAAAAAAAAAAAAUAGAAGGGGAUUUUAUGGCCCUGACUUGAUCCUGUGCACAGAAAGGAAUUUGGCCUAACCCUGGUUGGACCCACUAGGUUUGCUGUGGGGUCAGACAUGGCCUAGAAUGGCCAAGCUUCAGGCUCCAACAAGCCCCUUCCACUUCCUCCACAGCUUAUGUAACUGAGAUGUCUUUCUACUGUAACAGAAAUAUUAGGCAGAAAUAUUUCCUAGAACCUGGCUGGCCUCCCUGCCCCCAUCCUAACUUAGCAUUCCAGGUUGUCAGGAAACCAGUUCACCUUAGAUACGGAGCACUCUACAGGUUUCUGAGUGGUCAGUUGAGGCCCACAGGACACUAGUCCUCACAGUUAGAGCUGCAGAGCCCUACAGAGCCAUGGAGGAUGGCAUGGCCAUGACCACCUUAUCCAUUUUCCAACUGGUC
rnacentral:lncRNA from 1 species